rnacentral:lncRNA from 1 species
UUUUUCAUUUGAGAGAGAGAGAGAGAGCAUGAGUAGGAGGAGGAGCAGAGGGAGAGGGAGAAGCAGACUCCAUGCUGAGCAGGGAAUCCAACAUAGGGCUUGAUCCCAGGACCCCAAGAUCAUGACCUGAGCUGAAGGCAGAUGCUUCAGCAACUGGGUGGGGAGGCACCCAGGUGCCCCCCAAAGAUUUUAUUUUAUUUAUUAAAUUUUUAAAAAAAUUUUUUAAAAAUUUAUUUAUGAUAGUCACAGAGAGAGAGAGAGAGAGAGAGAGAGAGAGGCAGAGGGAGAAGCAGGCUCCAUGCACCGGGAGCCCGAUGUGGGAUUCGAUCCCGGGUCUCCGGGAUCGCGCCCUGGGCCAAAGGCAGGCGCCAAACCGCUGCGCCACCCAGGGACCCCCAGAUUUUAUUUUUAAUUAAUCUCUAAACCCACUGUGGCAAUCGAACUCACAACCCCAAGAUCAAGAGUUGCCUACUCUUACAACUGAGCCAGCCAGGUGCCCCAACUUUAGUAAUUAUUAUUACAACUUACUUUUCUACUAUACCUUAAAGUCAACAAAAUACAUUCAAUAUAUAUUGUAUAUGUUCUGGGUUAUGUGAACAACAGUGAGUUUGGUUUUACUAAACUUGCUGGUGAUGAUCUGGAAAAUCAAGUGUCUGGCCUAUAUAACUUGGUUACAGUCAUGUAGCAAAUAGGGUUCAAAAUUGGGUCUGGGAACCCCAGUUUUCUACUUCCAGAUGAAACCUUUCAGUAGCCAAACAGAGCAGCUAAAACGUUUACCCAGAUGUAUAGCACCAAAAUAGCUUCAAAUUUUGUAAUUAUUAAGCACUAGAAAAUAGUACGGACUGUGGAAGAUAGCAGAGCCAAUCCUAGCAAGAUGGAAAAUCUAAAAUUUCCUAGCAUUUAUAUCCAUUCCCCUCUGGAAGACCUGGGAGUACAAUAGGUUUUAUCACUUUUUGCUACUGUCUCUGAAAGUAAGUAUAGGAGUUUAAAAGGCAGGUGCUCACCACCUCCCUCAAAGGUCUCCAUGAGAGAAAAGGAAAGCUGUCUUCAUCUGCUCAGGCUACUAAAACAAAAUACCACAGACUGGGUAGCUUAAACAACAGAUAUUUGUUUCUCAAAGUUCUGGAGGCUAGAAGUCUAUAAGCAAGGUGUUGACCAAUUCAAUUCCUGGUGAGAACUCUCUUCUUAGCUUGCAGAUGGCUACUUUUUUCUGUCUUCUCACAAGGCAGAGAGCUAUCUCUUCUUUCUUGCCCUUCAUAUGAAGUCACUAAUCCCUUCAUGAGAGCCUCACCCUAUGAUCUCCUCUAACCUAAUUACCUCCCAUGAAUUCCAUCUAUAAAUAUCAUUAUAUUGGGGGUUAAGACUUCAACAUACGAACUUUAGGACACAAUUUAGUCCAUGGCAAAGCCUGUGAUAAACUGGUAAAGCUCCAGCUUCCCAGUCUCAGCUCUGGAAUUGUUGAUAAUAAGAUACCUGCCCCAGAUUUAAACAGGAACUAAGACCCCACAUCAUCUCAAUAGUGGUCUCCCCAGUUGCCUUCUCACAUUCUUUUAUUCUGUACCCUCACAAAUACCUGUUGAGCACCUACUAUGGGCCCUGCCUUGUUUUCUAGAUGCCAGGAAGAGCACUGAACAAAACUAAAGUUCUACACUGAUAAUGUUUACAUUCUCCUGGGGAGAGAGAGACAAAUAACAAACAUAAAGAUAAUAGGUGCUAUGAAGAAGAAAACAGGCUUGGGGAACAGAGGGAAUGUUAAAGAGCUUGGUUUACCUACAAUAUCCCCUUUUACUGACAAGGUAUUGAAACUGCUUUCCCAUCCUUAAUUGCCUCAUGACCUCCUGAUUCAUACAGUGUUCUAUGUCUUUCAGCACUUCUGAAAUGACCUGAACUGGUAUUUAAGAAAAAGAAUACAAGCUAAUAUUGAGCUCUAUGUGCUAUACAUUGUGCUAAAGUAUUUCCUUGGAUUUCUUCAUUAAUCGUCACAAAGCCUAACCCUAUGAGGAAGUAGGCAGUAUCAUUGCCUCCAUUUUCCAGAUGAGGAAACGAUCCCACAGAGCAGUUAUGUAAUCUGUUUCAUUUGACCACGUUAUUGGGAAAUGACCAAGUCUGGUUUUCAGGUAACAUGCGUGCUUAGUUAGAAUGCCCAAGGGCCUAUGUGUGAAUUAGCGUAUGAAGCGUAUUCCAUUGUUAAGCUGAGAUAAAAUCCACUCUUUUCAAGCACACAAUUCUGUCGUUUUUAGUAUAUUCAAAGGUUGUGCAGCCAAUACGAAUAUCUAGUUCCAGAAUAUUUUCAUCACACCAAAAAGAAAUCAUACUCAUUAGUACUAACCAUUAUUCCCAUCUUUCCCCAGCUCUUGUCAAUCAUUUCUUUCUGUCUAUAUGGAUUUUUCCAUUACGGAAACAUCAUACAAAUGGAGUCUUGCUUCUUUCACUUAGCACAAUGUUUUUAAGAUUCAUCCAUUCUGUAGCAUUUUUUAGUACUACAUUCCUUUUUAUGACUGAAUAGUAUUUCAUUCUACGGAUAUUAAGUCUUUUAUUUAUCCAUUCAUCAGUUGUUUCCACUUUCUGACUAUUAUGAAUGAUGCUGCCAUGAACAAUCCUCUACACAUUUUUGUGUGGACAUCAGUUUUCAAUUCUCUCAAGUAUCAUAUACCUAGGAAUGGACUCUGUUUAACUUUUAUAUAUAACUUUUUGAAGAAAUGCCAAACUGUUUUCCAAAGUGGCUACUCCGUUUUACAUUUUCACUAACAGUUGAUGAGAGUUCUGAGUUCUCUACAUCUAUAUCUGUUAUUAUGUCUUUUGAUGAACACCAGUCUAGUGAGUGUGAAGUAGUACCAUUUUUUCCUUUUUUUUUUUUUUUUUUUUUGAGAGAGAGAGAGAGAAAGGAAGAGAGCACCCAAGUUGGGGGUGGGAGACAGAAAGAAAAGGAGAAAGACAAUCUUAAGCAGGCUCCAGGCCCAGGGUGGAGUCUGAUGCAGGCUCAAUCUCACCACCCUAAGAUCAUGACCUGAGGAAAAAUCAAGAGUCGGACAUUUAGCUGACUGAGCGACCCACGUAC